GGAGAAAGGUGAACAACCCUUCGGGGAACACGAUCGAGCUGGACCUAGGCAGCUCGGACGACGACGAGAUCAACAUAGUGCUGCGACGCUAGCUGAUGGCCUAGCUUGGCUGUCUCCAUGGCCAAGCGGCUUGCUGCUUUCUUUUCAAGAGGCUGUAAAUGUACACCAGAAGGAGCACACAAGGAAGGCCUACGGGAUUGCCGCCGCGCCCUUCCACAGCGACAGCAUAGGGAGUAGUCGAGGCCGAGGCGCCUAUGCAUGUUCUAUACUUGAUUCCCUGUUUAAGGUUUGGGAAUUCUGAAAUACCAGGGGCGAAUGUUUUCUGUUGCCUGUAAUUGGACGUUGGACGAGAUGAUAUGGAUUCAGAUUCAGUGCCUUGCGUGACCUUGUCAAAGGCUGACGACUGUACGGUGAGAUAACCAAAGCCGUAGACCCAGCCUCGG
rnacentral:lncRNA from 1 species